rnacentral:lncRNA from 1 species
AAAAACAAAAAUGAAUCAAAAGUAAAAUGUUCAGUCCAAUUUAUACAGUCCAAAUAUAAAAUGCAAAAAUAAAUCCUAUCUAACCUAUACUAAUCCUAACUACGCUCUCGUGCUUUACUCGAUGCCUGGGGCAUUCACCACGAACAUUUUCCAAGUACCAGAUACAUCGGGGCAUUCCCCAAAUAAAUCAAUACAAGUACUUCGGGGCAUUCCCCGACCAAAUGAUACAAAGGAUCCCAACGCAAUAUAGCUAAAAAACCAUUCAAUCACACAACUCAAAUAUUCCAUCAAUCCACAAUCCCUAAAUUCACCUACCCAACCUGCAUUUACCUAUCUGAGCUCGAUCACAUUCAUGUUUAUCCCGAAUUGAACAAAAUGACAACCAACCAAAAUUUAACUAUACAACUUUUAUCAACUUUUAAUUCCACCCAAAAUUUCUUUCUUGUAUCAAAUUUCCACGAUUAACAAACCAUUUCAACAAUUCAUGUUCAUUUUAGUAACAAAUUCAAAUCACGCAACAAUAUCAGCGAAAUCAGACUAUCACAGUCAUCCAAACACAUAAUCAUAGUCAAUGCAACCAAUCAAAAAUAAAGAAGAGAACAGAUUAAAGAAAUGGACCUCAAUAUCGAUUUUUGUUGAUAAUAACGUUAAGGAAGCCCAAAUCAAAAGCCCGAAUAGAAAACCGAUGAAAUCCCUCACUCGGUAUAGAGAAACAAAAAUCCGAUAGUGAAAACAACACUAAGAUUGAGACCAAACAGCGUCCAAAUUCCAGAACCAGUAGAAAAAACAACGGUCCCAAACAGUGCAGCCACGGAUAGGUAUGUCAGUACGCGAUUUCUAUGAGAGGAAAAUGAUGAAUCCAAGCACUAUUUGAAAAACGAAACACUAAGAUUGACGAACCCAAAACCUCAAUUCACACGACAGGAGAUCGAACCCAGUGAGGCCUGAGCUCCGAUGAACUCAGCCGGAGGCGGAAAAUGACGGACCCCAGGUGGACUCCGGCCGGUCUCGCUGUUUCUGGACAGAUUCAACUGGAAAAUCACAUAAAAGAGAGGAAAUUAAACUUAAGAAUUUCGUAUUGUACUCAUUGAGAACAGACGAACUGACAAUCGAAGACCUUGAUUCUUGAAUUUUCAAUGAAUAUGUCAAGGUCCAGUCCCCUUAUGUGCAUUCUGUGUGGU